rnacentral:tRNA from 1 species
GCCGAGGUAGCUCAGUGGUAGAGCGCGGCUCUGAAAAAGCCGGCGUCGGCGGUUCAAUUCCGCCCCUCGGCACCA